AUCUACGACCACAGAAAGAGGACUAUUACGUAUCCCGUCCGCUCUGCGCUAUACAAGCCUCUUAUCGACCCCGUAGUAGCAAAGUCGGUGACGAUUUGCGAAUUGGGAUUGUUGUAGAUU
rnacentral:rRNA from 1 species